rnacentral:rRNA from 1 species
UCGAUAACGAACGAGACCUCUACCUGCUAAAUAGUUCAGGAAACUCUUUUACGGGUUUCCUUGUGACUUCUUAGAGGGACUAUCUGUGUGUAGCGGAUGGAAGUUGGAGGCAAUAACAGGUCUGUGAUGCCCUUAGAUGUUCUGGGCCGCACGCGCGCUACACUGACUGGUGCAUCGAGUUUACAACCUUGACCGGUAGGUCUGGGUAAUCUUUGAAAGCCAGUCGUGCUGGGGAUAGAUUAUUGUAAUUAUUAAUCUUCAACGAGGAAUUCCUAGUAAAUGCAAGUCAUCAACUUGCGUUGAUUACGUCCCUGCCCUUUGUACACACCGCCCGUCGCUAAUACCGAUUGAAUGGAUC